rnacentral:rRNA from 1 species
UACGGAGGGUGCAAGCGUUAUCCGGAUUCACUGGGUUUAAAGGGUGCGUAGGUGGGCAGGUAAGUCAGUGGUGAAAUCUCCGAGCUUAACUCGGAAACUGCCGUUGAUACUAUUUGUCUUGAAUAUUGUGGAGGUAAGCGGAAUAUGUCAUGUAGCGGUGAAAUGCUUAGAUAUGACAUAGAACACCAAUUGCGAAGGCAGCUUACUGGCGCAUUCCUGACACUGAAACACGAAAGCGUGGGUAGCGAAUGGG